UUCUGGAGUAUGUUCGUACGGUACGAGCGCAUACACAGGAAUACCUAAAGCCGAAGUAAAAGGCUAAAACCUCAAGAAAACCCCAACGAAGAAAUUUCCGAAUUCCUUUGCUAAAUCCCUAGAGCAUGUCCUCCGCCGCUGCCAUGGCUGCUAGAUCAGCCUUCAGAUCAACCCUAGCCCGAGCCACUAUCUCCCGCAGACUUACCAAUGGUGCCAAAGUGAAAUCACCCGCAUCUCCGUUCAGCAUCCCCAAGCAGAAUCCACUCUCCCAGUCCCAUCGCAUUUUGAGAUCUCCUGUUGAAAUGAGUUGCUGUGUGGAAUCGUUGCUUCCUUACCACUCUGCUACUGCCUCUGCAUUGCUUACGUCUAUGCUUUCCGUUUCUCGUCGUAGCUACGGUUGGACUUCUGAAGAUUCUUGAAUGAUGAAUGCUACCACUGAGCAGGACUUACCUAAGGUAAUCAAUUCUAGGAUCGUGAGAGAUUGCUCAUUGCUGAACUUGGCUAAGCGACUUGCUGUGUGAUUCUUUACUGUUUACUUGACUUAGAAGUCCUAGGGGGGUGGACACCUUUACAAUUUCCAAGCUGGAGAAUAACAAUAUACAUGUUUGUUAAUCAUGAUGUUUUAGCCAUAAAAAUUGAACUUUAGAUGAGUUGGUUACAGUUUUUAGACAAUGUUUAUAAUCGACAUUUCCCCUUUUCUUUUUUUGUAUUGUAGAUGGAUGAUUACUGUCUGUUGAGAUGCGGUGCAUCGAUCAUAGUUUCGAGAAUUUGAAUGGAGACUGUAAGAUUUUUUUUACUAAGAUGAUGAUACGUGAUUUGUGAUUUAAGAUUUCCAUCUGUAGAAUUAUGUUUUUAUGAUUACCUGCAAGUAAAAGCAAGUAAUUUCCUUA